rnacentral:rRNA from 1 species
GACGAACGCUGGCGGCGUGCUUAACACAUGCAAGUCGAACGAAAAGACCCUGCUUUUGUGGGGUGCUCGAGUGGCGAACGGGUGAGUAACACGUGAGUAACCUGCCCUUGACUUUGGGAUAACUUCAGGAAACUGGGGCUAAUACCGGAUAGGAGCUCCUGCUGCAUGGUGGGGGUUGGAAAGUUUCGGCGGUUGGGGAUGGACUCGCGGCUUAUCAGCUUGUUGGUGGGGUAGUGGCUUACCAAGGCUUUGACGGGUAGCCGGCCUGAGAGGGUGACCGGCCACAUUGGGACUGAGAUACGGCCCAGACUCCUACGGGAGGCAGCAGUGGGGAAUAUUGCACAAUGGGCGGAAGCCUGAUGCAGCAACGCCGCGUGCGGGAUGACGGCCUUCGGGUUGUAAACCGCUUUCGCCUGUGACGAAGCGUGAGUGACGGUAAUGGGUAAAGAAGCACCGGCUAACUACGU